ACUAACACUUAAACAAACAGUGGACUAAGAAACAAACACGAACACGUCGGUCAGGUGGCCAGAGAGCUGCCACAGCCACAGUGGAGGGUUAACACAGCCAAAGGAGGGUACAGAGGUCUAGCGGUCUGAGUGAAGUGGCAUAGAGCUGCUAAACUGCUCGCUCGCUGGAGUCUGUCUGUCCAGUGACAGGCUCAGCACCUCCACCGUACUGCCACUAGAACCCGUUAACGAGGGGUCUAAAGGAAUGAGUAAAAAAUUGUAGCAUUGCAAAUGCCUCUGUAUACAGGUUGAUGGCUUCGAUCAGAUGUUUUAACACUUCUUGCUGUUGCUUCCACCUGGUUUUCGAGGCUGGGGGUUUCUGCUGAUGAAGAGGACUUUCUCUGUGUUAGAGUUGGGCCAGGACAUCAUUCCUUGCUUACCCACACAGCACAGUGCCUACUCAAACAACACAUUGCAGCAGUACUUAAACAAUAGCAGGAGGAUUGCUACAUGGGGGUUGACUCUGUCUGAGUUACCAUUCCCAACAGACAACAUUGGGAAUGGUAAACUUUAAAUUACUUUACAUUACAUAAUUCAACUACAUUGAUGUCAUUCCAGUGGAUGGAGACUUAUCCUUGUAAGACAAAGACAAUUAUUCUGGUAGAUCACUGGUCUAGCUCAUGGAAUCAAAUCUGCAUAUCUGAUUUCAUUGAGCUUGAAACUUUAAUGCAGACAAGAUUGUGUAGGAGGCUGGGGGUGUGACACAGCACUGGGGACAGGCCACAAAGAACUCCAAAAUAAGCCCUCCAAGUUUCCAACCAUGUUUCUUUAAAAUAGUAAUUUAAAAAGGCAAUAUGAGCAUCCAUUUUGUGCUAUUAUGAAAAGAAAACAACUAACAGUGCUUCUAAGCGUAUUAUGAGCAACAGGGGGCAAGAGGAAUAUAAAGAAUGGGGGGAUUGUACACUAUGCAAAGGUUAUUGUGAACCUGUGAAUAGCAGUGUUACUGUAUCAAACAACCCUGUAAAAGAGACAAUAAAACAUUAAGAAGACCUAAAACUGUGUUUUCAGUGUAACAUAACUGACGUCUGGAUAACCUCACAAGGGACUUUAUAUUUAAAGCUAUAGGCUUCCAACAUAAUUUUCAAUGUUGCCUGUGCCUGUUUACUAAAUUAAUCCAUACAGUACUGUUCUUCCCACGUGAUGUUUUUGUACAGGAAAUACCUGUAUUAAUAAUUAAACCAUUAGCUCAUUUGGAUAUAUUUCAUAACAAUCUGAUGAAAUACAUACAAUAUUUUUGAAAAUCUCUUUAAGACACUACACCUUUAAAAUUUGCAGUAACUCAAGUGUCACCUACUUGUAACCAUAGCAGCAUUACCUGUCAGGGCCCUGUUCCAGGAACACCAAGAAUAUUUCAAGUGCAGUUAACAAUCAUGAGCACUACCUGAAAUGGCACAAAAAAACACAUCACUGUAUUUAGCUCAUCGUUUUAAAAUAAGAAGAGCUCUAUAGGUUAUCGGUCAUUUGCAUGGAUAACAAAUGCUUUAGCAAUGUUUGACUUUUUAAUGCAUGUGGACAAAAAUGAAGUAUAGAUGAAAAGCUACCUUUACGCAACAUCAUAUUUGGUUAAAAGUGUUAUUUAAAACUGUUAUAUAUUACUGCAGGUGCAGAGCGUGUUCAUGUGCACAACACUCACAAAAUAGUUACACUGUAUUUCAAAACGUGUAAGGCCGCGUGAUAGCUAACACAUGUAAGGCCGUGUGUUAGCUCUGUUAUAAAAGGGAAGGCACAUGUGCACUUCGGGGAUUCUUGGGGUUCUGUGUUAGUGUAUUCUGUGUGUAACUGCCUUAAUAAACAAGUUUUUG